rnacentral:rRNA from 1 species
UGGGGAAUUUUGCACAAUGGGGGAAACCCUGAUGCAGCGACGCCGCGUGAUUUAGAAGGCCUUCGGGUUGUAAAAAUCUUUUCUAUGGGAAGAAAAUGACAGUAUCAUAGGAAUAAGGACCGGCUAAUUACGUGCCAGCAGCCGCGGUAAUACGUAAGGUCCGAGCGUUGUCCGGAAUCAUUGGGCGUAAAGGGUACGUAGGCGGGUAAGCAAGUUAGAAGUGAAAUCCUAUAGCUCAACUAUAGUAAGCUUUUAAAACUGCUCAUCUUGAGGUAUGGAAGGGAAAGUGGAAUUCCUAGUGUAGCGGUGAAAUGCGCAGAUAUUAGGAGGAAUACCGGUGGCGAAGGCGACUUUCUGGCCAUAACCUGACGCUGAGGUACGAAAGCGUGGGUAGCAAACAGG